rnacentral:rRNA from 1 species
AGAGUUUGAUCCUGGCUCAGAAUGAACGCUGGCGGCGUGCCUAACACAUGCAAGUCGUACGAGAAAUCUCGGGCUUGCUCGAGAGAGUAAAGUGGCGCACGGGUGAGUAACACGUAGGUAAUCUACCUCCGGGUCAGGGAUAACCCGCCGAAAGGCGGGCUAAUACCUGGUAAUACCCUGUCUGCGGGAGCAGGCGGGAUCAAAGGUGGCCUCUGCAUGCAAGCUACUGCUUGGAGAUGAGCCUGCGGACCAUUAGCUAGUUGGUAGGGUAAUGGCCUACCAAGGCGACGAUGGUUAGCUGGUCUGAGAGGACGGCCAGCCACACUGGAACUGGAACACGGUCCAGACUCCUACGGGAGGCAGCAGUGAGGAAUAUUGCGCAAUGGGCGAAAGCCUGACGCAGCCAUGCCGCGUGAAUGAUGAAGGUCUUAGGAUUGUAAAAUUCUUUCACCGGGGACGAUAAUGACGGUACCCGGAGAAGAAGCCCCGGCUAACUUCGUGCCAGCAGCCGCGGUAAUACGAAGGGGGCUAGCGUUGCUCGGAAUUACUGGGCGUAAAGGGAGCGUAGGCGGACUGUUUGGUCAGAGGUGAAAGCCCAGGGCUCAACCUUGGAAUUGCCUUUGAUACUGGCAGUCUUGAGUACGGAAGAGGUAUGUGGAACUCCGAGUGUAGAGGUGAAAUUCGUAGAUAUUCGGAAGAACACCAGUGGCGAAGGCGACAUACUGGUCCGUUACUGACGCUGAGGCUCGAAAGCGUGGGGAGCAAACAGGAUUAGAUACCCUGGUAGUCC